rnacentral:rRNA from 1 species
UACGAAGGGUGCAAGCGUUAAUCGGAAUUACUGGGCGUAAAGGGUGCGUAGGCGGUUCGUUAAGUCUGUCGUGAAAUCCCCGGGCUCAACCCGGGAAUGGCGAUGGAUACUGGCGAGCUAGAGUGUGUCAGAGGAUGGUGGAAUUCCCGGUGUAGCGGUGAAAUGCGUAGAGAUCGGGAGGAACAUCAGUGGCGAAGGCGGCCAUCUGGGACAACACUGACGCUGAAGCACGAAAGCGUGGGGAGCAAACAGG